rnacentral:rRNA from 1 species
UACGGGGGGGGCAAGCGUUUGUUCGGAAUUACUGGGCGUAAAGGGCUCGUAGGUGGCCAACUAAGUCAGACGUGAAAUCCCUCGGCUUAACCGGGGAACUGCGUCUGAUACUGGAUGGCUUGAGUUCGGGAGAGGGAUGCGGAAUUCCAGGUGUAGCGGUGAAAUGCGUAGAUAUCUGGAGGAACACCGGUGGCGAAGGCGGCAUCCUGGACCGACACUGACGCUGAGUGAGCGAAAGCCAGGGGAGCAAACAGG